rnacentral:rRNA from 1 species
AAUAGAUACCCGGGUAGUCCACGCCGUAAACGAUGUGUGCUAGACGUCGGAUGUUCCGCAUUCGGUGUCGCCGCUAACGCAUUAAGCACACCGCCUGGGGGAGUACAGCCGCAAGGUUAAAACUCAAAGGAAUUGACGGGGGGCCCGCACAAGCGGUGGAGCAUGUGGUUUAAUUCGACGCAACGCGCAGAACCUUACCAGCCCUUGACAUCCCGGUCGCGGGGAGCGGAGACGCUCUUCUUCAGUUCGGCUGGACCGGAGACAGGUGCUGCAUGGCUGUCGUCAGCUCGUGUCGUGAGAUGUUGGGUUAAGUCCCGCAACGAGCGCAACCCUCAUCCUUAGUUGCCAUCAUUGAGUUGGGCACUCUAAGGAAACUGCCGGUGACAAGCCGGAGGAAGGCGGGGAUGACGUCAAAUCCUCAUGGCCCUUAUGGGCUGGGCUACACACGUGCUACAAUGGCGGUGACAAUGGGCUGCGAGCCUGCAAAGGCAAGCAAAUCCCAAAAAGCCGUCUCAGUUCGGAUUCG